GUGUGCCGGGCAUAGGCCGAGGAGGAUGGGAGGACUUGCCACCCGGCACCUCCUGACUCUAAAACUUUCCUGCUCCUUGGGGCAUCUCUCAGUUUAACGGGUUUUUGGGGGUGUUGCUUUAAAAGAUAAGCGGGGAUGCCUGUCCUGGUUUUCCUCUGGAAAGUAGACCUUCAGCAUUGAGGAAGAUGCUUAUCAAUAACCCCCAAAAUAGUGUCUGGCUGGGGUCCGGAAGCCUGCAUUUGCUUUUGCAGUCGUUAUGGUCAGUUUCCCACUCUUGAAACAAUUCCAGUUACUCAGUCUCCUCAGUUACAAAUUGUCGUCAUUUUUUUUUUUUUUUUUUUUUUGCGGUACGCGGGCCUCUCACUGUUGUGGCCUCUCCCGCUGCGGAGCACAGGCUCCGGACGCGCAGGCUCAGCGGCCAUGGCGCACGGGCCCAGCCGCUCCGCGGCAUGUGGGAUCCUCCCGGACCGGGGCACGAACCCGUAUCCCCUGCAUCGGCAGGCGGACUCCCAACCACUGCGCCACCAGGGAAGCCCCUGUCGUCAUUUUUAUUAUUGGUCUGGCCGACUCAUGGGUGAAUGAAUAUAAGGAAAACCAAAACAUCGCUUAUGUGUCUCUGAGACCGGUACAGACUACAGUUUUAGGAAAAACAGCUAAGGUGUAUCUUGUUCCCUUUUCACUCAGUAGCUACAAGCCAGAUCAACUUAAGCGCUCCAAAUCCCUAUUAGAUAAGAAUUCUAACAAUGAAGUGGCAUGUAAGAAAUGUAAGAAGGCUGAAAUAAAGAAAACUUGCAGAAGGAUUUUAACCCCAAAGAUGGAAGCCACAUCUUCCAAGGCAGAAUCCACUCUGCAAAAAUCAUCCUUAGAUGUUCAUGCUGAAAGUAACAAGUGGCAAUACAAGAGCACUUCAGAUACAGUGAUUCUCAGUGCUGAUACAGAAAGCAGCCAGGAUGGAGACAGUGAUGAAGGUACCACACCAGGCAUGGAUGAUUUUUCAGGAUUGUCACCAUACGAAAAGAAGAGACUGAAGAACAUAUCAGAAAAUGCAAACUUUUUUGCUUCUCUUCAGUUGUCUGAGUCAGCUGCAAGACUCCGUGAAAUGAUAAAGAAGAGACAGCCUCCUGAAUCCAAAAGGUUGGACAAGAUGGCAAGAGUGGGCUGCUGUUGGGUAUUUCCCUUCCCCAGAAAGAAGCCUAAGAAGAAAGAAAAUGAGACUGGAUGUAGAAGGUCAAUGCGAUUACUAAAAGUUGAUCCUUCAGGAGUUUCAUUACCAGCAACUCCAACCCAGCCAAUAUUAGUAGCAGAUGAAAAUCCUUUGUUACCUCCUGGGCCUUUAGAAAUGACUUCUGAAAAUCGAGAUGAUAACAGUGAACUAUUUAAAGGAUUUCUGCAGACUUGGGCAGAAGUGAGCAAGGUGUCACUUGGGAGGACAAGAAGUAAAAACACUGAGAAGGAGUUAUCUAGCAUUAAAAGCUACAAAGCCAAUUUAAAUGGCAUGAUCAUUAGUGAAGAUACUGUUUAUAAAGUUACCAAAGGCCCAAUAUUCUCAAUGGCUCUCCACCCAUCAGAAAUUAGAACUUUGGUGGCAGCUGGGGCCAGAUCUGGACAAGUUGGGCUUUGGGAUUUGACUCACCAACCUAAAGAAGAUGGAGUUUAUAUUUUUCAACCCCAUAGUCAACCAGUUAGCUGUCUUUACUUCUCGCCUGCCAAUCCAGCUCACCUGCUGUCACUGAGCUAUGAUGGCACAUUACGCUGUGGGGAUUUUUCCAGAGCUGUUUUUGAGGAGGUAUAUAGAGAUGAAAGAAGUAGCUUUUCCUCCUUUGACUUCUUGGCAGAAGACGCCUCCACUUUAAUAGUAGGUCACUGGGAUGGAAGUAUGUCACUAGUGGAUAGGCGGACGCCUGGAACUUCUUGUGAGAAACUUAUCAAUUCUUCUUUGAGCAAAAUAAGAACUGUACAUGUCCAUCCAGUGCAUAGACAGUAUUUUAUCACUGCGGGAUUAAGGGAUAUUCAUAUUUAUGAUGCAAGGUGCCUGAAUCGCAGUAGAAUCAAGCCUUUGAUUUCUUUGACUGAACACACAAAGAGCAUCGCUUCUGCCUAUUUUUCACCUCUUACUGGUAACAGAGUAGUAACCACAUGUGCUGAUUGUAAGCUGAGAAUCUUUGACAGCAGCUGUAUAUCCUCGAAGAUUCCUCUUCUCACCACCAUCAGGCACAACACCAUUACUGGGAGAUGGCUGACCAGGUUCCAAGCUGUGUGGGACCCUAAACAAGAAGACUGUAUCAUAGUCGGCAGCAUGGCCCAGCCACGGCGAGUGGAAAUCUUCCAUGAGAGAGGAAACUUCAUCAGCUGUGCUAUUUAUAUCCCAUUCUACUUAACAGAGUUCUGUCUUCUUGAGGCGGUGCAGGAAGGAGAGAAGGACGGCUUACAAACACUGGUGCAGAAGCUGGACCAUCUAGAUUCUCCUUUGGGCUCUGAGACUGUGUGUAACCUUGGGAAAAUCAUUUCUUGGUUUUCCUCAUCAGAAAAAUGUGGUCCAAUUCAUCUCCAAAAUUAUUCCACACUUACAGCUUCUAAGUUCUUAAUAGUAUUUAUUUUGGGGGGAAGAACAAGGAUAAUAGAUGGCUAUAAACAAAAUGAUUAUUUUAAAUAAUUCCAGUCGCAGACAGCAGUCAGCUGUGUAAAUCCCACUGGUAUCCUUUUAUCUAUGUGUUGUUAAUUUUAAGGAGGAGAAAGUGAGAUAGGCUGUAAGUUAAAAAAAUAAAAAGAGUCCACUCUUCUAUGAUAUUUAAAUAUUUAUUUACGUUUAAAAAUAAUUUUCAUGGCACCAGUGAUUUUAUGCUAACUACAUACUGCAUAUGUAGAAAAAAGUACAUUGCUUUGAAGGAAAAUGUAACUUAUAAUUUUUGGCACACAAAAGGUUAACAACUAUAUAUAUUUUUAAUGAAACUAAGAAAUUCACAUUUGCAGGUAGUUUACCUUCUACUGCUUAAAGAUGCAGUACACUAUUCUUUAGUAAGAGUUUUAUUUCCUCUGAUAGAUGAAGCUGUGGAAACCACUGCUUUUUCUACAAUGAGAUCAAAACUAAUUUUGAGAGAAAAUAGAAGACAUAGUGGAACACAGUAAAAUCAGGUUAAAAACUUGAACAAUUUCUAAUGAUGGGGAGAUACCAAAAAAGACUAGUCACCAACAAAGGAAGUUUGUUAUUCAAGCACUAUUUGAAAAGCAAAUUGAAGGAAACUUUUCUAUCUGUAUUUUGUGGGAUAAGCCCUGGAAAAAAAUAACCCAAAAGUUUCUGUUCAGAGAGCAAAAUCCAGCUGUAGGAAGUGGCAUGGACUAUUGUACUGUUAGAACUCUAGACACAAGUACGUACCAGGAUAUGGAAUACUGCAUCUUUCUUUAAUGUGAAUAUGAAAGGUCAGAGUCGAGGCUAUCACUCACCGCAUAGAAACACCAUAUUCUACAGACUGAGGUAGGAACACUACACUAAAAGGUAAUCUGCUAUGUUGCAUAAGACAGUAGAUAUCCAGGUUAAAACCAGCCCCCUAUUUCCUGACAGCCUUUUCUUCUCCGAGUCUACUUUUUACUCCAAUCCUGUGCUAAUAAAGCCUUUCCUGUAGAUGACAAGUGGCAGUGGCUAGUUGGUUCUAAGCGAUCCCUAAUCUUUACUAGGCUCUCCCUCAUAUUUUGUCUUGUCACUUUGAAAAUAGAUGUUUGUAAUUCUGCCCAAAUUUUUGCUGGUAUGGAAAUGAUCAGACAGGCCCUCUUCCAUGCUUAGAUUCUGGCUGCGUUUUAGCAUUCCAGUGGUUGAUCUUGCUCAUCUUGGCAUCAGACAUCUCUUUGCUGGUUGGUUGUUCGAGCACCCUUUAAACAAGCAACCCCAGUGCCUCUACUGGGAAAUGAUCCCGGAUCUUUAACACAUGUCAGGAAUUGGAGCAGAGCUGACCCUCUUUCUGCUUACACACUGGUAAGGAGCAGUGUUAUUGUCUAGAUCGGGGUUGGCAGAUUAUGGCCUGUGGGCUAAAUUCAGCUCACUGCCUGUUUUUAUAAAUAAAAAUGUUAUUGGAACACAGCUUUGCUCCUUUGUUUAUGUAUUACCUAUGGCUGUUUUGUGAUAAGAUGGCGGAGUUGAGUAGUUGCCAGAGUAUGGCCCACAAAACCAAAAUAAAAAAAUAUUUACUAUCUGGCACUUUACAGAAGAAGUUUGCCGACCCCUGGUCUAGAUAAAAGGGCAAUUAAAAUUUUGAAACACAGCACCACCCCCAACCUUAAAAAAGGAAAAACUCCGUUUAUCCAUGGCUAUUAGAUUCUAUAUAUGGACAUGGUUCUGCUGUCUCAGAGGACAAACUAGGGGAAAGCAGAUCUACAUGUGACUCAUUCUGUUCUGCAUUUGAGGCUCCCCAGCAUCAUAGGGUGUCAGCAGCUGCUCCACUGUUAUGUGGGUCCCAGGAAUAUGUCCACUGACUGUCCUUACGUAAGUCCUCAGGCCCCAGAUGACUUAGAAAUCUCUCCCUGAGAUGAAAACAAGAUCUUGUGUGUGAGUGGUUGUAAGAGUUGCAGAGCUUGGGCCUCGGACCCCACACUCACCCUCCACAUGCUGCUCUUCUGCAUGGAGCCUCGGCAAGGAUGGUAAGUGCUUUCCUACAACUUUCAUUUUCCCAGUGCAGAGGAUGACGCUAGGGGGCAGUAUUUCUACAUCUAAGUCUUGGUCUCUGCCACAUUCACCUUCUUUUGUAGGCAUCUCUUAGAACUCCUAUUUAAAGAGAUUCUUUUCCUGGUCCCUUCCCAGGCUGUUUGUUGAUCUUGGAAUUCUAUUUUCUGAAGCUUUUUAUUCUCAGGAUCAGUUUCUUCCUUGUGUCGUUUAAGUUCGUCAGGCUCUAUUUUUCUUAAUCCAUAAAGUAAAAACAAAAUAUGAAUUGAUAAGAAAAUACAUUUUGUUGUUAAAAUAUAAAUUGAAAUAGUCUUUUUUGGGGGGGAUGGUGUUGUACAAAAUAAGUACUGCUCUGUGACCUCAACGGUCUCUCAGGUACCUUAGCUCUGGUUUCUGUUAACUACACUUAGUCCUGCAUUUCUGACAGUUCUAUCCCUGGUACCACCGAAUUCACCUAAUGCUUCUGGAGCACUAUAAAAGUCUUGAGGGUCUUCAGAAAAAACCCCCACAGAAGUCUAAGUUCAUUAUACAAAACUCAUGGUGAUGCCCACUAGGAUCUAGUCUAAGGGGACAGACUUACCCCACCCCUGCUGCUGCUGCUGCUGUAGUGGUGGUCCCUUCAGAUGCCCACUCUGCUCAGAUUUGAAAGAAAUAAAAGGAAAAGAAAAUCCAACUCAGACCGUCAUAAGAAGCAACUUUCCAUUUAAUCAUUCUACACGGAUGUUUACUUUUUUUUAAAAGCUCUGUCUGGGAAGAAAACCUAGACAGUCCCCAUUGUCCAGAACCCUGGCUUGCCCCGCUGAGGCUGCAGUGAUGAGUCUACUGGAACUGAGUAGGAAAGCUCCUGCAGAAUACAGAAGACAACAGCUCUCUAGUCUCCAACUAGUGUCCCAUCUACUAGGUGACACUACUGCGAGAAUCAGUAAUAAUAAAAUAAAUUAUUUUUGAUAUUUUCAAAAUAAUACACAUCUAUGAAAAAUCAAAAUUCAAAACCAAAAAUUUUAUCCUGCAAAUUGGGAGGAUGAGAAACAGAGUCGCCGAGCCUUUCUUGAAAGAACCUCUGAAGGAAAUGAGUUUUCCCAGUUAGUUUAGACAAGGCAUGAGCCUAUCCCUUUCUUCUUCUGGGAAACGACCCUCCUAGGCUGUGGACUUUGAGUCAUGAGAGGAGGACUUGGUACAUGUGCCGAUGGUUCCGCGAUGGGUCCCAUUGCUGGGAAUGGGUAGCCGGGCUCCUUGGUCCACCUGGCUAGUUAUUGGGAGGAUUCAUGCCUUCUCAGGUGUCAGUGAGCAGGCUCACCACUGAGCGGAUUUUGCAGGCAAACCAUCGCCUGAGGGGACAAAAGUAUUGAUAGUGGAAUUGUUCAAACUCGGGGGUCUGGCGGAUAUCGCGGAAAAAGGCAAUGUCAAGGUCGGACUCGGUAAGGAUGAUCAGGAGGAGGAGCAAAACAAAGAGGAGUCCCAUGGUCACAAGGAGCAAACGGAGGACACUUAAAACAAACUUAUUCACCUGUUCCUCCUCUGGCCUGCCGUGCCCCUGACACAGGGCCCUCAGCUCUCCCCCAAGGGCCUCCAUCUCUGCAGCAGUUGGGGUGCUGGCCUCACACUCCUUCUCCUCCUCAAUGCUGCAGGUGGCCCCAUUGAUCUGCCGGGAAAGCAGCAUCAGCUCCAGGCUGUGCUCGGCCACAGGGGUGGGCAGCACACUGUCUGCAGGGCUGUAGGCCUCAUCCGCGAUCACGGCGACUCGCUCAUUGCUGUCUGCCCGGCUGCUUCUCACGUGAGGCAGGAAAGUGUCCCCGUGGGAGGAGGGCUCAAAGCUCUAGUAGGGAAGAACAGGAGCUGGUUACCCCCCCUCAACCAAACAGCAGCCACCCAGGCCAGAGGAUGUCAGAGCUCAGAGUCACCAAGUGUGGCCCAUGUCAUAGUGCUCCCAAGGAAAUGGCUUCUUGUUUUCAAGUUCAGUGUCUGUAUUUUCUACUCCUGGCCAUAUUGGUGGUUCCAGAGUGGCUCUCCCUGCUUUUGUGGUCCACAUCAAGAGAAGCUCGUCCCCUUCUGUUGCUCUGAAAUCGACCCUGACUGCCCCAGACAGCUGGACACCCAGCUAGUAAAGGCUUGAUGAUCCCUGCACUGAUAGAGCCGCUCAACUGCUAAAAUCUUGUAUUUUUUUUCACAUCCAAACCAGAUGUCCAUCUGCCUCUCCUCACCCUGAAUUACAUUCUGCUUGUGAGUUUCAUUCCUGCCAGGGCAGUUCUGAGCUUCUACCCACGCUCUUCUGAGUCUAAUGGGCCUCGAGGGCCAUGACCGGGGAUGAAGACUGUGCUUGUCUAUAGGCACCACUGGGCAUGGGGUGUAAGGAGCACGUUGGCUUGGGGAGUAGCACAUGGAGGCCUGCUGUGUUAUAAUCUGCCAGGUGUGAAGUUCUGAGCCUAAGCUUUUGAGGCCGUGCCCUGGCCCUGGGGUGGGGGGGUCUCUGCUCUAAUAGCUUUCUGCACCCUCCCCUGGCAUUUUGUAAGCAUGGGUGACAGUUUUGGAUGUUGAGGAGCCUACUGCUGCUACAAUGGGAGAAGACAGGUUCUGGGAGGAGGCUGAAGGCACAGCCAGAGCUGGUGGGGAACUGAGGCAGCCUCACAGCUCGUCUUGGGGGAGCUUGAGGAUGGUUCUCCCCACCUCUGAGUUGUUUUGCUAACCCUGCUUGGCAGCUACUCCAAAUGAGUUAUAUCCCCACAUGGAUGGCCUCAGUCUUCCCUCUUCUGGGAAUGCUGGUUUUACUGGACAUUCUUCCAUAUGCUGGGGAGCAGUAAUGCCUGAGGCUGCUCUCCUAUGCGAUACCUGCAUUAGGGCCAGCUUCCCCCACGGGGUGGCCUUUUCUCUGGGAGGACAGCUGUCCCGACUUUCUACAAGAGCCUUGGGAUGAACCUGGUGGCUUCAGCCUCAGGACAGACGGGAACAAGGGCCACAGAGAGGGGAGAAAGUUAUGUUUCCUCAAAAGAGGAGAAGACAGUCCAUUUUCCUGAGAUGCACACCCCAAAAUAAGAGAGCUGGGCUCACUUCUCCUGCUCAGCCUAAGAUAGGAGGGAAAACCAGGGGGCUGUGUCUGAUGAUGGCCAGCCCUCAAUAAUUCCAUACCUUGCAUAGCCAUUAUACUUGGGAGUUUCCAAGGCACCUUCCCCCACCCCCCACCCCUUUCUACAGUGGGGGCAACAGGCUCAGAGAGGUUAAGCAACCUGCCCAGAAAAUGUGUGGCAGAGCUCCUAUUUUGACCUCAUCCUUGACUUCCUGACCAGGGCUCUUUGCAUUGUGCUUGCUGCCUACCCAGUAAACGCUUUCAUCUCUUUAAAGUACUUGCAUGUACAUCAUCAGCUUCCUUGAAACCCAUGGGGUUUUACAAAUGGAGCAACUAAGGUACUCACAUAAAUAAGGCCUUUGAUCAUGGUUCUCUCCCAAAGGUUUAGUCUAAUACUCUCAGAUCUACAAACCCCUCUUGGACCACAGCUCAUCAGGGCUGGAUGGGAUUACCCUUCACCUGACACCCAGCUGGUGUUCCCAUUGACUGGAUGAAACAUUCUCCCUACCAUUGGAGAAACUUGCUGCUGUCUCUAGUGCAAAUUCACUUCUUUUCAAGGUCCCUGUGAGGAACCGGUCCAGGUGACAACUUGGAGGAACCCCAGGUCAUCUCCAGAACUCAUGCUCACCUUCCAUGAUGGAGAUGUGAACAGCUCUUCUCCGGGUCCUAGGGACGCUGCUCAGCCUUGGGCCAUGGGUUAUGGAGGGACAGCUGCGGCUGGGGACCAUCCCUGCUCUGAGGUUAAAGAAAAAAAGAAUUCUGUUAGUGCACUGACAAAUGUGGUCAGGACUCAGAGUUGAGGACUGGUUACUAGAAUUGCCUGAGAAUUGCCUGGCUGUGUUAAGGUUUGUUUUGUUUUUAAAAAUCUUUAACACCUGCUUUCUGCCUUUAGUCCCUGAAUCCCAGUCAGAGACACUACUUCAAACUUGUCAACCUCCUUAUAUCCCAGACCUACCCGAACCUUUCUUUAGUGUGGCAGUGGUGCCACUGGUCCCUGGGCAGGAUUGUCAGAGAGUAGAGCCCCAGGAUAUGCGGUGCUCCUAAAAAUGUGCCUAAGACUGAUAUGCGGCCUCCCCUGACUUCCCACAGAGGGCAGGGGGGUCCGUGUGAAGGCAGGUAGUAAUGCUCCCAUUCCCAGAGGUCAGUCUGGUUGGCAAACCCCAGACCUUUUGGCCAAUCAUAUUCUCCCUCAUUCUUACCAGGUUUUAGGAGAUGGCCUCCUGGAAAUUUAUGAUUUACAGUUACACAUAAAGCAUGGAUCCUGAAACUAUUUCAGACCUAGUGUGAGUGGCGUCCUGUAAUGCACUGUUUCCAGAGCCAAUGAAAUCUUGCGGCUUGGGCAUGUCCUCCAAGGUCUAUGACCAAUUUCAGGACUUGGGAUGAUGGUAGAGAAUUACCCAGGAAGGUGGCUCCUGGGUCUGAUGUACUGUCUGCAUUAGCCCACCUUCCCUCAUUCUCCAGGGUCAUCCUGUUCCCAUGCCUUUGACUGAGAUGGGUCUCUUCACCCUGCUGCCCUGUUUGGAAGCCAUCAUGGCCAGAAUCUUCACAGUACUCAAACUGCUGGCUCUUUUAAGAGUCCGAGAUCUGAGCUGGACCUGGUCGGGGAUAAGCCCCUGGUGCCUACCUGUGUAUUUCUGGUGGCUCCCGUUUGAUCUUGGCACUGGACUCCAUCACUUCCUUUGCAACUCGGCCACUAUAAGUAGUAUAAAUAAAACAAGCAGCAAGAAAUGACACAGUGUUCCAGGACUGAGCUCUGUAAGAUCUCAGAUACUUGAGCUGAAUUGGGAAGUGGCCUCUUUGGCCUACCCCUUCUCAAUGUUUAGGCCACUGAGUAGGGCUUGCUUGCUGGGGUAAAGAGCUCUAAGGCGUCCUGACAGCUCUCUGUCUCUGCGGUCUUUGGGAUCUUCCAUCCUCAUUUAGGAAUGAUUCCUCAUUGUCCAGCGUGUUCCAGAAAUAUUGCAAAAAAAUGAAAUCUUUAGAUAGAAAUGAAAGGAAUCACUCUUACAGUUCUUAUUUUGCUGCUUUUGUAAGGGCAGGAGAAGACACACAUUUUAACCCCUACAGGCAAACAGCUGCAGGGAAGGAAAGAAAUAGUCAAAAGGUUAGGAGACAGGAGAAUCGGAUGGAAACCUCACACUUCUCUGGAGGUUCCCAGUGUCUUUGUUCUCAGGAUAAGGACCACUGGGCCACCCUUCUCCAGAGAAGGGUCUGAAAAUAGGUCCAUAACGGUUACUUACUGUCACUAUUUACCUGUAUCGGAACCGGCUCCCUUUAAAGAAUAAAUUGCUGCUGGACACUGUGCGGACUUGGCUUGACUUCUCCAGCCUGCAGCAAGGCAAAGUCCAGUGUGAGAGAUGGUCUGCAAUGCCUUACAGCCUAAAGCUGUGUCCCCAGCUCCUUCCAAAGGCUACUUGAAAAAACCCCUCAGGAAAAGGCCCUUCACAGCCCUGCUUGUCUCUGACUCCUUUAGCACCUGAGGGCCGUGUUCACGGUCUCAGUGCUAUGGACAGGCAUGCUGCAAUCCACUUCCACGUUAGGAGAGUGAGGGCUCCCCAAGAGUGCCUCAUGGGUUCACCAUGGGGACUGAGAGAAUAAAUGUUAGGGAAAGAGAAUGCCACCUGCUGAAUCUCAGCCAGGCCACUGGUUAGCAGUGUGACCCUGGGCAAAUUUUCCCUCUCUUAGCCUCAGUCUUAUCUAUAAAAUGGUGGAGCUGGGACUGCUUGACCUCAGGAGUCCCUUCCAGUCCUAGUAUUUGAGAAUUCACGUCCAUGUCUGGGUAACUGUGGGUGGAGAAGAGAGUAGUGCCCUUCCUAUUCCAUCUCCUUCUUGGAGCGAACCUAAAGUAUAUUGUCACAUUAGAGACUCUGAGAAGUCGUGAAAUGAAGAAACUAGCUGAACUUUAAUAAAAGUUCCACCAUUUGUUUGAACUUGGAACCAUUUGCCCUCCCCCAGAAAGCCCAUUAACACCACUUUCAAGGCUGUGAACAGCUGAGGUGGAGACUCUGGAAGCCACCCUUGAGUGACUGCUCUGAUCCCUGUACUCCUCUCACUUAGAAAGGGAAGCAUGGGCAGAGCUGCCCAGAUUGAAUCUCCUAAGACCUGACCCCAUCCACAACACGUCCUGGGUGCCUGUAGUGCUAACCCAGCUGGGAACCGAACUGGUCUGAAGCCUUUGUUCUGAGCGGGCAGUGAAUAUUUAGGGAGUUGUCCCUAUAAUCCAUGAACAGCAGGUGCUGGGGACACCAUCCCCACCUGUCUCAGGGCUCCAUGAGGCUCUGAGCCUACUUACUCUCCUGUCUGAGCACAUUCCUUUUCUUUUUUUUUUUUUUUUUUUUGGUUUAAAAUAUUUAAUACGUGUUAGACACGUAAAGUUAUUUUUUUCUGAGCACCUUCUUGAGCCUGACCGGCUCCCUUCAAAGCACUAGGCCAAAAGCGGGGCAGGGAUCUGCCCAUGACAGACACUCUGAGUGAGGCCAAAGUGGCUCCUGCUAGCGACUUGGCAUAAAUGAGGGUCUGACCCAGGCUAGAGGCUUUUAACACCUAAUUAGUAGUCAUGGAGAACAGUGAAAAGCGGCCUUGGUUUCCAGUGUGGAUGUGGGCAAUCUGUUAAGGAAAGACUCAGAAACUGAGUUUGGUCACAGGCUCAGAAGCACAAUUCUGUUCCCAUGGCUCAGACGGAAAAACAAAGGAGGGCCUCCAGAAAUGGUGCUGAAAUGUUUUCUCGGCUUUCCUUGGACAGCCAGGGACUGAAUAGGAGGGAAAGGUGACCACAUGAAAGUCUUCCGAGUGUCUUCUCCAUGAGAAGAAAGAAGCCCACUCAGCAAAAGAAUCUUACUCUGUGCUUCCUGGAGGCAUGGAACCUCUGAGGGUCACCAGCAUCCCUGAGGAAGUCCCUAUGCUCCAGGACCUACAGCCACCUGUCGUCAUCUCAUGUCUCCUCACCUCCAGCCUUGAACUUGUUCCCGGCUUGACAUGCAGGGGGCUUAGCUCUGCCUGGAUGGACCACUUUGGUUCAGCCCUGGCCAUCAGGACCCACCCCAGUGCCCCAGCCCUCCCUGAAGAGAAGGAAGCCAGCACUCACCUCUUUCUGACUUACGUACAAAUAAAAAGUCUUUCCUUCAAA